UAGACUAAAAAAAAAAAAAGCAUAAACAGACACAAACCAAAAUAAUAUUUCAGUUGAUGAUCCACCUAUGGUUUUAAUUCACUUUAAAGGAUUAUUGUUAAAAAGGCCAUCAGUGGCUCCAGCAAGAAUAUCAUCUCCAAGCAACAAGCUAGGAUGAGCCUGAGAUGCUGCAAAAAGUUGUUUUUUCCGUUUAGCAGGAUCUAAUGUUAAAUUAUCUUCUCCUGGUAGGUGAUGUCUAAUCAUCUCCCAAUGGUGUUCAGUGGUAUUAUAAGAGCUAGGAGGAAACAAAAAUCAGAAGUAUUCCAAUCACUUUGCAUUUGAAUUCUCUGCUCCAAGCUCAUAAUCUGACCACCCAUUCAAAUUACUGUUUGAUGAAGAUCAUUAAUUUGAUUUGCCAAUUUUUGAUCUAUUUGGCUUUGGGAAUUCCAAAGCUUGGAAAAAAUUUUCCUGUCAACUAUCCACAGAGCUCACAGUUUGAAUAGAAUAAUGCAAAGUUAUACCAACAGCAGCAGCUAUAGCUGUGACCGCUAUAAGGCCCAUGAUGACAGCUAUUAAGGGAGACUCACCACCAAGGAGAUUACCACCAUCAUAGCUACCAUUAGAUUACUGGUGGUCAGCAGCUUGUGCUGAGACCACAGGUUCUUUUCUUCAAUGCGAGCUAGUCUCUUCAUCUGCCCCCAGGUCGGUGGAGUUGCUUGGGUGGAAGGGCUCCAGUGCUGUUUUAAUUGCUGACCACACAGACCAAGUGGAGAAGGGAAUAUCGCAGCCCUCUUGUUGUGCUCCUUUAACAUGAUGAUUACACAGGGAACAGUCCUCCAUUUUGGGAACAUGACAGUGUUUAGAAGGAAACACUCAUGCAAUGGAUUCUUUGAGGAUCCUCUUCCAUGAACUGGGAAACUUUUCAUGUGGAAGAC